rnacentral:rRNA from 1 species
CACCAGACUCCUACGGGAGGCAGCAGUGGGGAAUAUUGCACAAUGGGGGGAACCCUGAUGCAGCGACGCCGCGUGGGUGAAGGAGCGUUUCGGCGCGUAAAGCCCUAUCGGCAGGGAAGAAGGAGGACGGUACCUGACUAAGAAGCCCCGGCUAACUACGUGCCAGCAGCCGCGGUAAUACGUAGGAGGCAAGCGUUAUCCGGAAUGACUGGGCGUAAAGGGUGCGUAGGUGGUUUGACAAGUUAGUAGCGCAACUCCGGAGCUUAACUUCGGAACUACUACUAAAACUGUUGGACUUGAGUGCAGGAGGGGCAAUCGGAAUUCCUAGUGUAGCGGUGGAAUGCGUAGAUAUUAGGAGGAACACCAGUGGCGAAGGCGGAUUGCUAGACUGUAACUGACACUGAGGCACGAAAGCGUGGGGAGCAAACAGGAUUAGAUACCCGGGUAAA